UAAGGAAUAUUGGUCAAUGGACGCAAGUCUGAACCAGCCAUGCCGCGUGAAGGAUGAAGGUCCUCUGGAUUGUAAACUUCUUUUAUCUGGGACGAAAACGGGAUUUUUAUCUCAAUUGAUGGUACCAGAGGAAUAAGCACCGGCUAACUCCGUGCCAGCAGCCGCGGUAAUACGGAGGGUGCGAGCGUUAUCCGGAUUUACUGGGUUUAAAGGGUGCGUAGGUGGGCUUAUAAGUCAGUGGUGAAAUCUCCGAGCUUAACUUGGAAACUGCCGUUGAUACUAUGGUCUUGAAUUAUCUGGAUGUAAGCGGAAUAUGUCAUGUAGCGGUGAAAUGCUUAGAUAUGACAUAGAACACCAAUUGCGAAGGCAGCUUACUACAUAUAAAUUGACGCUGAGGCACGAAAGCGUGGGGAUCAAACA
rnacentral:rRNA from 1 species